UCAGAAAAGCAGCGAUCAGCUUUUUUAUCAUAACAGGAAUUGCUGCAAAGGAACUGGAUUUGGCAGAGUAAUACUGUUCUUUGCCUGUAACAUCUUUUUAUACAUUAUGCUCCUUUCUUGUAAACUGACACUGUCAUUUUCUUUAUUUAAACCCAUUUAUUAACUAGAUGCUCAACACUGCUUCUUGCAUCUGGUAACAAAGAUGUAUUGGAUAAAGCCAUUCAUUCACCAACGUUGAGACCCCACUAUCUCCUCAUAUUAUCCUUAUGCGAAAUAUGGACAAACGAGGUCUAGUUGAAUGAUUAUCUUAAAUGAUGCCCAUCCAAGAGGUCCCUGGCAGAAGACUGCAUUUUUUUCUUCAGUUCUGCCUGUUCAACACUGAAAUCAACACAUCGGAGAAAUUAAUUGAAAGGCAUACUUUUUCGAGGGAGCCGGAGGGAGAGGUUCAGGAGGGGAAGGAAAGAGAGCAGAGUAAGUAGGAGGAAGUUACUCGUCUAAAGAGGCAUUUUAGGAUGUUUACACUGAAGGCACCUGCAUCUUUACCUCCUUUUGUGUAGCGAAAUGAAGGCCAGCCAUGAUCAGCAAGGCUGGGGAACAGAGAGUCAUUAAAAAGACGGAAUCAUUAGCUGCUGAUGGUGCUGGUCCUGUCCUCCCGUACGGCACAAAGAGGAAUGGUCAUG